CCUACGGGAGGCAGCAGUGAGGAAUAUUGGUCAAUGGCCGAGAGGCUGAACCAGCCAAGUCGCGUGAGGGAAGAAUGUCUUAUGGAUUGUAAACUCCUUUUGUCAGGGAGCAAAGUCACCCACGUUUGGGUGUUGGAGAGUACCUGAAGAAAAAGCACCGGCUAAUUCCGUGCCAGCAGCCGCGGUAAUACGGAGGAUGCGGUCGUUAUCCGGAUUUCUUGGGUUUAAAGGGUGCAUAGGCGGGUAAUAAAGUCAGUGGGAAAAUCGUGGAGCUCAACUCAGUCCAGCCGUUGAAACUGAUGAUCUUGAGUGGGCAAGAGGUAUGCGGAAGGCGUGGUGUAGCGGUGAAAUGCAUAGAUAUCACGCAGAACUCCGAUUGCGAAGGCAGCAUACCGGCGCCCGACUGACGCUGAAGCACGAAAGCGUGGGUAUCGAACAGGAUUAGAUACCCGUGUAGUC
rnacentral:rRNA from 1 species